rnacentral:lncRNA from 1 species
NCCACCCUGGGUUCCUGGGGGAGCUGGGGCGGGAUUUCUGAGCUCGCCAGGCCCUGGUGCCGUGGUUCUCCUCCCGGGAUUUGCAGAAUUCCCGUGUCCUCAGUGUGCCUCCAGCCCUGGGAGGAGCCGGGCUGUCCCGCACCCAGGGACUUUUCCCGGGCUCCUCAGCAGCCAAUUGCAGCCCUGAGGAAAUCGAGAAAAUCCCCUGAGGCUCGGGAAGCCGCGGGAGUCUGGAAUUACCCCGGCCCUGGGAGGGGCUUUGGGAAGUGCCAGGGGCUGGUGCGGUGAGAUGGCACAGCCGGGCCGUGUGUGUGCCAGGGGAGUGGUGCCACCUCCUGGAGCCACUCCAGAGCCCGCGUCCCACGUGUCCCCUGUCCUUCUGGGCUCUGUGUGGUGCUGGCAUGGGGUGUCUGGCCCACGGUGGGAUGGGGGCAGUGCAGAGUUUGGGGUGUCUGUGCUAUGAGGGUUGGGGGUCCCUGCAGAGUUUGGGGUCUGUGUGUGCCAUGGGGGUCAGUGCAGAAUUUGGGGUCUGUGUGUGCCGUGGGGUCAGUGCAGAGUUUGGGGUCUGUGUGCUGUGGGGUCAGUGCAGAGUUUGUUGUCUCUGUGCCAUGGGGUCAGUGCAGAAUUUGGGGUCUGUGUGCCGUGGGGUCAGUGCAGAGUUUGGGAUCUGUGUGCCAUGGGGGCAUUGCAGAGUUUGGGGUCAGUGCAGAGUUUGGGGUCAGUGCAGAGUUAGGGGUCUGUGUGCCAUGGGGUCAGUGCAGAGUUUGGGGUCUGUGUGCCAUGAGGGCAGUGCAGAGUUUGGGGUCGUGUGCCAUGGGGUCAGUGCAGAGUUUGUGGUCUCUGUGCCAUGGGGUCAGUGCAGAGUUUGGGGUCUGUGUGCUGUGGGGUCAGUGCAGAGUUUGGGGUCUGUGUGCCAUGGGGUCAGUGCAGAGUUUGGGGUCAGUGCAGAGUUUGGGGUCUCUGUGCCAUGGGGUCAGUGCAGAGUUUGGGGUCUGUGUACCAUGGGGUCAGUGCAGAGUUUGGGGUCUGUGUGCCAUGGGGGCAUUGCAGAGUUUGGGGUCAGUGCAGAGUUUGGGAUCUGUGUGCCAUCGGGGCAUUGCAGAGUUUGGGGUCUGUGUGCCAUGGGGUCAGUGCAGAGUUUGGGAUCUGUGUGCCAUGGGGUCAGUGCAGAGUUUGGGGUCAGUGCAGAGUU